UACGUAGGGUGCAAGCGUUGUCCGGAAUUAUUGGGCGUAAAGAGCUCGUAGGCGGUUCGUCGCGUCGGCUGUGAAAACCCGGAGCUCAACUCCGGGCCUGCAGUCGAUACGGGCGGACUUGAGUGUUGCAGGGGAGACUGGAAUUCCUGGUGUAGCGGUGAAAUGCGCAGAUAUCAGGAGGAACACCGGUGGCGAAGGCGGGUCUCUGGGCCGUAACUGACGCUGAGGAGCGAAAGCAUGGGUAGCGAACAGG
rnacentral:rRNA from 1 species